rnacentral:pre_miRNA from 1 species
UUCUUCAAAGUGGCUGCGAAAUGUUGACAUUUUCUGCUUAAAAUAUAUUUUUGAAAUUCAUAUCACAGCCAGCUUUGAGGAGCG